AGUGAACGCUGGCGGUAGGCCUAACACAUGCAAGUCGAACGGCAGCACAGUAAGAGCUUGCUCUUACGGGUGGCGAGUGGCGGACGGGUGAGGAAUACAUCGGAAUCUACUUUUUCGUGGGGGGUAACGUAGGGAAACUUACGCUAAUACCGCAUACGACCUACGGGUGAAAGCAGGGGAUCUUCGGACCUUGCGCGAUUGAAUGAGCCGAUGUCGGAUUAGCUAGUUGGCGGGGUAAAGGCCCACCAAGGCGACGAUCCGUAGCUGGUCUGAGAGGAUGAUCGGCCACACUGGAACUGAGACACGGUCCAGACUCCUACGGGAGGCAGCAGUGGGGAAUAUUGGACAAUGGGCGCAAGCCUGAUCCAGCCAUACCGCGUGGGUGAAGAAGGCCUUCGGGUUGUAAAGCCCUUUUGUUGGGAAAGAAAAGCAGCAGGUUAAUACCCCGCUGUUCUGACGGUACCCAAAGAAUAAGCACCGGCUAACUUCGU
rnacentral:rRNA from 1 species